AUGUGGCCACGGGGCCACAGGGCAUCUCGGCAGAUGGAUGUUCUUAUGCAGAUUAAUGAGGAUGGGGACCGCUGCAGAACUGUAAGCCCCCCAGGGGCUGACGGAAGCCUGGGAACACCCGAGACACCAGAGUCGCUGCUGCCCUGGGUGGAAGGAUACCUGCCCUGGAAGAUGGGAAACGCAAUAAGGAGAAAGUACCAAGGCAGUGGCUCCCCACCUGUGAGUGGUCAGAAAGGUUCACGCAGUUUUCCAGGGCGGCCUUUGCAUUUACUGGAACUAUUAAGAGCUCGUUCCUGCUUCGGCGGCGAUUGACAUGCAGUGCGCGUGAGGCCGUGCGUGGCUUAGUGUCUUCUCUAGGCUUACAGGUAAGUUUUUGUUCUUCCCCAAGCCUGCUCCGCUGUGCGGAGUGUUCACUGCGGGCGACGGUCACGCUGUCUGGCACAGGCCACCGAGGCCACAGGGCAGGUUCCACGUAGCGGAGCCUGCAGAAUGGCAGAGCCCGGCCUCCUCGCCGCCCUUCAUGGGGAGCAGAAAGCAAAAGCCUGUGAUCAGAGCUGUGCUAGCCCAGAAAGCCUCUGAACAGGUUGAAUUGAGGAAUCGGCUCCUACCAACUGCCCAUGUUUAGGAUGGAUGUGUUUGAGUUUUUGUGAUUUUUCCUGCACUGAAGCUACUGGGCUGGCUCUGAGUCACCGUCAUGGGACUUCACUUGUCCCGACGGGAAGCGGCGGGGGAGGAGGGCUGCACAGAGGCUUGCGGCCCUGAUAAUGAAGGGUUUGUUGCCUCUUGGGACAGCGAGUUCAAACUCUUUGUAAUUGUCAGCGUAAAUAGUGACCCGCUGAGGGCACGGCUGUAAUUCAGGGUGGCAUGGUUGAUUGUCAUCGUUGAU
rnacentral:lncRNA from 1 species